rnacentral:rRNA from 2 species
UUGAAAGAUGGUUUUGGCUAUCACUUUAGGAUGGACCCGCGGUGCAUUAGUUAGUUGGUGAGGUAAAGGCUCACCAAGACCGUGAUGCAUAGCCGACCUGAGAGGGUAAUCGGCCACACUGGGACUGAGACACGGCCCAGACUCCUACGGGAGGCAGCAGUAGGGAAUCUUCCACAAUGGACGAAAGUCUGAUGGAGCAACGCCGCGUGAGUGAAGAAGGUUUUCGGAUCGUAAAACUCUGUUGUUGGAGAAGAAUGUAUCUGAUAGUAACUGAUCAGGUAGUGACGGUAUCCAACCAGAAAGCCACGGCUAACUACGUGCCAGCAGCCGCGGUAAUACGUAGGUGGCAAGCGUUGUCCGGAUUUAUUGGGCGUAAAGCGAGCGCAGGCGGUUUCUUAAGUCUGAUGUGAAAGCCUUCGGCUCAACCGAAGAAGUGCAUCGGAAACUGGGAAACUUGAGUGCAGAAGAGGACAGUGGAACUCCAUGUGUAGCGGUGAAAUGCGUAGAUAUAUGGAAGAACACCAGUGGCGAAGGCGGCUGUCUGGUCUGUAACUGACGCUGAGGCUCGAAAGCAUGGGUAGCAAACAGGAUUAGAUACCCUGGUAGUCCAUGCCGUAAACGAUGAGUGCUAGGUGUUGGAGGGUUUCCGCCCUUCAGUGCCGCAGCUAACGCAUUAAGCACUCCGCCUGGGGAGUACGACCGCAAGGUUGAAACUCAAAGGAAUUGACGGGGGCCCGCACAAGCGGUGGAGCAUGUGGUUUAAUUCGAAGCAACGCGAAGAACCUUACCAGGUCUUGACAUCCUUUGACCACUCUAGAGAUAGAGCUUUCCCUUCGGGGACAAAGUGACAGGUGGUGCAUGGUUGUCGUCAGCUCGUGUCGUGAGAUGUUGGGUUAAGUCCCGCAACGAGCGCAACCCUUAUUACUAGUUGCCAGCAUUAAGUUGGGCACUCUAGUGAGACUGCCGGUGACAAACCGGAGGAAGGUGGGGACGACGUCAAAUCAUCAUGCCCCUUAUGACCUGGGCUACACACGUGCUACAAUGGAUGGUACAACGAGUUGCGAGACCGCGAGGUUUAGCUAAUCUCUUAAAACCAUUCUCAGUUCGGAUUGUAGGCUGCAACUCGCCUACAUGAAGCCGGAAUCGCUAGUAAUCGCGGAUCAGCAUGCCGCGGUGAAUACGUUCCCGGGCCUUGUACACACCGCCCGUCACACCAUGAGAGUUUGUAACACCCAAAGCCGGUGAGGUAACCCUUCGGGGAGCCAGCCGUCUAAGGUGGGACAGAUGAUUAGGGUGAAGUCGUAACAAGGUAGCCGUAGGAGAACCUGCGGCUGGAUCACCUCCUUUCUA